UUUCUACUCCCUCCGUCCGAAAAUGGAUAAAAAUGGAUAAAAAUAGAUGUAUCUAAAACUAAAAUACAUCUAGAUACAUUUCCUUUUAUCCAUUUUGAUGACAAGUAUUUCCGGACGGAGGGAGUAUUUG
rfam:Triticum aestivum genome assembly, contig: Triticum_aestivum_CS42_TGACv1_scaffold_577279_7BL